rnacentral:rRNA from 1 species
GUGCCAGCCGCCGCGGUAAUACGUAGGUGGCAAGCGUUAUCCGGAAUUAUUGGGCGUAAAGCGCGCGCAGGCGGUUUCUUAAGUCUGAUGUGAAAGCCCACGGCUCAACCGUGGAGGGUCAUUGGAAACUGGGGAACUUGAGUGCAGAAGAGAAAAGCGGAAUUCCACGUGUAGCGGUGAAAUGCGUAGAGAUGUGGAGGAACACCAGUGGCGAAGGCGGCUUUUUGGUCUGUAACUGACGCUGAGGCGCGAAAGCGUGGGGAGCAAACAGGAUUAGAUACCCUGGUAGUCCACGCCGUAAACGAUGAGUGCUAAGUGUUAGAGGGUUUCCGCCCUUUAGUGCUGCAGCUAACGCAUUAAGCACUCCGCCUUG